rfam:Fusarium verticillioides 7600 chromosome 11, whole genome shotgun sequence.
GCCUUCAUGGCUCAGUGGUAGAGCGUGUCACUAGUAAUGACAAGGUCCACGGUUCGAUCCCGUGUGAAGGCA